UGUCUUAUGGUGUAAUGGCAGCACAACAGAUUCUGGUCCUGUUAGUCCAAGUUCGAAUCUUGGUAAGACAACUA
rnacentral:tRNA from 1 species